rnacentral:rRNA from 2 species
CCUAGGGGAGGCAGCAGUAGGGAAUAUUGCGCAAUGGACGAAAGUCUGACGCAGCGACGCCUCGUGAGGGACGAAGGUCUUCGGAUUGUAAACCUCUUUCAGCAGGGACGAAGCGAAAGUGACGGUACCUGCAGAAGAAGCACCGGCUAACUAUGUGCCAGCAGCCGCGGUAAU